rnacentral:rRNA from 1 species
UACGAAGGGGGCUAGCGUUGCUCGGAAUCACUGGGCGUAAAGGGCGCGUAGGCGGCGUUUUAAGUCGGGGGUGAAAGCCUGUGGCUCAACCACAGAAUGGCCUUCGAUACUGGGACGCUUGAGUAUGGUAGAGGUUGGUGGAACUGCGAGUGUAGAGGUGAAAUUCGUAGAUAUUCGCAAGAACACCGGUGGCGAAGGCGGCAUCCUGGACCAACACUGACGCUGAGGAGCGAAAGCCAGGGGAGCAAACGGG